rnacentral:misc_RNA from 1 species
CCGUGGGGGCCUCGCGGCCCCUACCGAGGAUAGCACCCUUUGUCUUUUUAAGCACCCACUGUUUCCUCGGCGGGACGCCCGCCAACGGGGACCACCAAAACCUUAACCCGUCAGUAUUAGAAGUAACCGUACCAAAAACAAAAAAUCA